GACGAACGCUGGCGGCGUGCCUAAUACAUGCAAGUAGAACGCUGAAGGAGGAGCUUGCUCUUCUGGAUGAGUUGCGAACGGGUGAGUAACGCGUAGGUAACCUGCCUUGUAGCGGGGGAUAACUAUUGGAAACGAUAGCUAAUACCGCAUAACAGUAGAUGUUGCAUGACAUUUGCUUAAAAGGUGCAAUUGCACCACUACCAGACGGACCUGCGUUGCAUUAGCUAGUUGGUGGGGUAACUGCUCACCAAGGCGACGAUACAUAGCCGACCUGAGAGGGUGGGCAGCCACACUGGGACGGGGACACGGCCCAGAGUGCUUCGGGAGGCAGCAGUAGGGAAUCGGCGGCAAUGGGCGGAAGUCUGAGCGAGCAGCGCCGCAGGAGUGAAGAAGGAUUUCGGGUCGGGAAGGUCUGUUGUAGGGGAAGAACGAGCGUGAGAGUGGAAAGUUCACAGUGUGACGGUAUCGGACAAGAAAGGGACGGCUAACUACGUG
rnacentral:rRNA from 1 species